UGCCUCCCAUUCCUAUCGUCCUUAUGCGCUCCUUCCUCUUCCUUUUUGUUUGCUAAAUCGAUUUAGCAGAAAAACAGAACAUAUAUGUGCAUAUAUUCAGGUGAUGUGAGAUGUCCACUAUGAGACAGGAAGAGGAAAAAGGAGGGCCUAAGAGCGGUGGGCAUGGGACAUGAUGGAAAGCUAAAGACCUCAGUUCCUCGUCUAACACUGAAUUGGACUGGACUGGAACCAGUUUCCUUGUGGCACCCAUCGCCUACUGGCAAGGUCCUCACUGGAAGUAGUACACUGUAAAUCCUCCAGAACUGGUGCUAUCUGAUCAAGUGUCAUUGCUGGACCUCCUUCCUUUUGUCCUAGUUUCUCCAAAAUACCAUUUAUUGAUGAUGUCACUGAAAAAAGCCGGGGUGAUUUGAUUCUUCUAGUGAUGGUGGCCGAGCUACAAGGUUUUGUAAUUACGACGUACUUCGAUGGCUGGAAGAAGUAUUGAAAUCUCUUCAAUUCGUUCUUUGUGUUUGAACCUUGUCCCAAAAAUACUAGGUGAUUCAUCGUGUUGUUUAGGCGAUUCAUACUGAACCGAUGUGUAUAGUGAGUUUAGACUGAAAUAUAUGAUCAUUUUACCUUCAUGUAUUUAACUCGUAGGGGUUGUGGCCGAUGGUUUCCUUGGUCUCCUUGCAUGUAUGUAGUUUUGUACAACCUUCAGAAUUUGGAUACUAAAGUAC